rnacentral:rRNA from 1 species
GUAGAAGGCUCCCGGCAGGCCUAAUACAUGCAAGUCGAGGGAGAUUGUUGGAUUCGUCUGACAUGAAACCGGCGCACGGGUGCGUAACACGUAUGCAACCUACCUUUAACUGGGGUAUAGCUCAGAGAAAUCUGAAUUAAUCCCCCAUAAGACUACGACAUGGCAUCAUGAUGUAGUUAAAGCUCCGGCGGUUAAGGAUGGGCAUGCGGUACAUUAGCUAGUUGGUGAGGUAAUGGCUCACCAAGGCUACGAUGUAUAGGGGGUCUGAGAGGAUGAUCCCCCACACUGGUACUGAGACACGGACCAGACUCCUACGGGAGGCAGCAGUAGGGAAUAUUGGUCAAUGGACGCAAGUCUGAACCAGCCAUGCCGCGUGAAGGAUGAAGGCCCUAUGGGUCGUAAACUUCUUUUAUUAGGGAAGAAAAAAUGGGAUGCGUCCUAUACUGACGGUAC